GCCGAUGUAGCUCAAUUGGAUAGAGCAGACCCGUCCUAAGGGUAAGGUUGGGAGUUCGAAUCUCCCCAUCGGCA
rfam:Candidatus Woykebacteria bacterium RBG_16_39_9b RBG_16_scaffold_1595, whole genome shotgun sequence.